UAUCACAGCCAUGUCGAAGCUAAGCAGGGCUGAGCCUGGUUAGUACCUGGAUGGGAGACCACUAGGGAACACCAGGUUGCUGUUGGAA
rnacentral:rRNA from 1 species